GCUUCCAUAAUUAAGCUGGAUAUAAUACCCCCCUCCUAAGGGGGCAUCCCCGGUUCGAAUCCGGGUGGGAGUACCA
rnacentral:tRNA from 11 species